rnacentral:rRNA from 1 species
UGCUUUACACAUGCAAGUCGAACGGCAGCACGGGGGCAACCCUGGUGGCGAGUGGCGAACGGGUGAGUAAUACAUCGGAACGUGCCCGAUCGUGGGGGAUAACGCAGCGAAAGCUGUGCUAAUACCGCAUACGAUCUACGGAUGAAAGCGGGGGAUCUUCGGACCUCGCGCGGACGGAGCGGCCGAUGGCAGAUUAGGUAGUUGGUGGGAUAAAAGCUUACCAAGCCGACGAUCUGUAGCUGGUCUGAGAGGAUGAUCAGGCACACUGGAACUGAGACACGGUCCAGACUCCUACGGGAGGCAGCAGUGGGGAAUAUUGCACAAUGGAGGAAACUCUGAUGCAGCAACGCCGCGUGGAGGAUGACGCAUUUCGGUGUGUAAACUCCUUUUAUAAGGGAAGAUAAUGACGGUACCUUAUGAAUAAGCACCGGCUA